rnacentral:rRNA from 1 species
CACAUGCAAGUCUCAGCAUCCCAGUGAGAACGCCCUUAAAACCUUUACAGGCUAAGGAGUCGGUAUCAGGCACAAAUCUUUGCCCAUAACACCUAGUCUCACCACACCCCCAAGGGUAUUCAGCAGUGACAAAUAUUGUCUAUAAGCGUCAGCUUGAAUCAGCCAAAGAGAAAAGAGCCGGCCAAUCCGGUGCCAGCCGCCGCGGCUACACCGUAGACUCAAGUUGAUAACCAACGGCGUUAAGCGUGGCCAAGCAAAUUUAGAGUAGAAUUAAACUUAGCUGUGAAAAGCUUGUCUAUAAGAAACCCAUAAUCGAAAGUUACUCUAAUUCAU